CCCUUAGACGUUCUGGGCCGCACGCGCGCUACACUGACACAGGCAACGAGCUUUCCUUUACCGAAAGGUAUGGGUAAUCUUUUGAAACUGUGUCGUGCUGGGGAUAGAUCCUUGCAAUUUUUGAUCUUAAACGAGGAAUUCCUAGUAAGCGCGAGUCAUCAACUCGCGUUGAUUACGUCCCUGCCCUUGUACACACCGCCCGUCGCUACUACCGAUUGAAUGGCUUAGUGAGGCCUCAGGAUCCGCGCUUAAUGUGUGGAGAAUUUGGACAAACUACGUCAUUUAGAGGAAGUAAAAGUCGUAACA
rnacentral:rRNA from 1 species